GAUGAAGAACGUAGCGAAAUGCGAUAAGUAAUGUGAAUUGCAGAAUUCAGUGAAUCAUCGAAUCUUUGAACGCACAUUGUGCCCUCUGGUAUUCCGGGGGGCAUGCCUGUUCGAGCGUCAUUACAACCCUCAAGCUUUGCUUGGUAUUGGACAUUGCCAGUUUCUGGCAGGUCUUAAAAUCAGUGGCGGUGCCAUUUGGCUUCAAGCGUAGUAAUUCUUCUCGCUUUGGAGAUCCAGGUGGUUACUUGCCAAUAACCCCCAAUUUUUUCAGGUUGACCUCGGAUCAGGUAGGGAUACCCGCUGAACUUAAGCAUAUCAAUAAGCGGGGA
rnacentral:misc_RNA from 1 species